GACGAACGCUGGCGGCGUGCUUAACACAUGCAAGUCGAACGGGUCUGCCCUGUUUUUUGCGGGGUGGGUCAGUUGCGAACGGGUGAGUAACACGUGAGUAACCUGCCCCUCACUUCUGGAUAACCGCUUGAAAGGGUGGCUAAUACGGGGUGUUCUGGCUGUGCCGCAUGGUGUGGCUGGGAAAGAUUCACUUUUGUGGUGUUUUGGUGGGGGAUGGGCUCGCGGCCUAUCAGCUUGUUGGUGGGGUGAUGGCCUGCCAAGGCUUUUACGGGUAGCCGGCCUGAGAGGGUGGGCGGUCACACUGGGAGUGAGAUACGGCCCAGACUGCUGCGGGGGGCAGCAGUGGGGGGUAUUGCACAAUGGGCGGAAGCGUGAUGCAGCGACGUCGCGUGAGGGAUGGAGGCCUUCGGGUUGUGAACCUCUUUCGCCGGUGAAGAAGGUCCUGCUCUUUGUGGUGGGGUUGACGGUAGCCGGGUUAUGAAGCGCCGGCUAACUACGUG
rnacentral:rRNA from 1 species